GAGUUUGAUCAUGGCUCAGAUUGAACGCUGGCGGCAUGCUUUACACAUGCAAGUCGAACGGUAACGCGGGGGCAACCCUGGCGACGAGUGGCGAACGGGUGAGUAAUACAUCGGAACGUGUCCUGGAGUGGGGGAUAGCUCGGCGAAAGCCGGAUUAAUACCGCAUACGCUCUGAGGAGGAAAGCGGGGGACCUUCGGGCCUCGCGCUGCGGGAGCGGCCGAUGUCGGAUUAGCUAGUUGGUGGGGUAAAGGCCCACCAAGGCGACGAUCCGUAGCUGGUCUGAGAGGAUGAUCAGCCACACUGGGACUGAGACACGGCCCAGACUCCUACGGGAGGCAGCAGUGGGGAAUUGUUCGCAAUGGGCGCAAGCCUGACGACGCAACGCCGCGUGGAGGAUGAAGGUCUUCGGAUUGUAAACUCCUGUUGCCAGGGACGAAUGGCCACGACCUAACACGUCGUGGUGUGACGGUACCUGGUGAGGAAGCCCCGGCUAACUCUGUGCCAGCAGCCGCCGUAA
rnacentral:rRNA from 1 species